rnacentral:rRNA from 1 species
UACAGAGGGUGCAAACGUUGCUCGGAAUUAUUGGGCGUAAAGCGCGUGUAGGCGGCUUGUUAAGUUGGUUGUGAAAACCCAUGGCUCAACCAUGGAAGUGCGUCCAAAACUGGCAAGCUAGAGUUCUGACGAGGAUGGCGGAAUUCCCAGUGUAGAGGUGAAAUUCGUAGAUAUUGGGAGGAACACCGGUGGCGAAGGCGGCCAUCUGGGAAGAUACUGACGCUGAGACGCGAAAGCGUGGGGAGCAAACGGG